rnacentral:siRNA from 1 species
AUCACUUGGACUAGUCAGAGCUGC